GCGAUCAUACCAGCACUAAUGCACCGGAUCCCAUCCGAACUCCGAAGUUAAGCGUGCUUGUCCGACAGUAGUACUAGGAUGAGUGACCCCCUAGGAAGUCCUCGUGUUGCACCCC
rnacentral:rRNA from 1 species